UACGUAGGGUGCAAGCGUUGUCCGGAAUUAUUGGGCGUAAAGAGCUCGUAGGCGGUCUGUCACGUCGGCUGUGAAAUCCCGAGGCUCAACCUCGGGUCUGCAGUCGAUACGGGCAAACUAGAGUAUUGCAGGGGAGACUGGAAUUCCUGGUGUAGCGGUGAAAUGCGCAGAUAUCAGGAAGAACACCCGUGGCGCAGGCGGCUCUCUGGAACGCAACUGACGCUGAGACGCGAAAGCGUGGGGAGCAAACAGG
rnacentral:rRNA from 1 species